rnacentral:rRNA from 1 species
UACGGAGGGUGCAAGCGUUGCUCGGAAUUAUUGGGCGUAAAGGGCAGGUAGGUGGUCUCGUUUGUCUGGGGUGAAAGCCUUGGGCUUAACUCAAGAAGUGCCCCAGAAACGGCGAGACUAGAGUAUUGGAGAGGGUCGUGGAAUUCCCGGUGUAGCGGUGAAAUGCGUAGAGAUCGGGAGGAACACCAGCGGCGAAGGCGGCGACCUGGACAAUAACUGACACUCAACUGCGAAAGCGUGGGGAGCAAACAGG